GUCCUUUUGAAAUUAAUUUAAGGUCUGACCUGCCCACUGAAUUUUUGAAGGGCCGCAGUAAUUUGACUGUGCAAAGGUAGCAUAAUCAUUAGUUUUUUAAUUAAAAGCUUGUAUGAAGGGUUGGACGAAGUAAAAUCUGUCUCUAUUUAAAUUAUUAUAGAAUUUAAUUUUUAAGUUAAAAAGCUUAAAUUUAUUUAAAAGACGAGAAGACCCUAUAGAUCUUUAUAUAAAUUUUAAUAAUUUUAAUUAAGAAUAAUUUAUUUAUUAUUAUAAUUUAUAUUUUAUUGGGGUAAUAAAAAGAUUAAAAUAAUUCUUUUUUUAUUUAAACAUUUAUUUAUGAAUAAUUGAUCCAGUAAUUUUGAUUAAAAGAUUAAGUUACCUUAGGGAUAACAGCGUAAUUUUUUUAGAGAGUUCAUAUCGAUAAAAAAGUUUGCGACCUCGAUGUUGGAUUAAAAAUUAUCUUAGGUGCAGAAGUUUAAGAUUUUGGUCUGUUCGACCAUUAAAUUUUU
rnacentral:rRNA from 1 species